CCUACGGGAGGCAGCAGUGGGGAAUUUUGGACAAUGGGGGCAACCCUGAUCCAGCAAUGCCGCGUGAGUGAAGAAGGCCCUCGGGUUGUAAAGCUCUUUUGUCAGGGAAGAAACGGUCUACUCUAAUACAGUGGGCUAAUGACGGUACCUGAAGAAUAAGCACCGGCUAACUACGUGCCAGCAGCCGCGGUAAUACGUAGGGUGCAAGCGUUAAUCGGAAUUACUGGGCGUAAAGCGUGCGCAGGCGGUUUUAUAAGACAGAGGUGAAAUCCCCGGGCUCAACCUGGGAACUGCCUUUGUGACUGUAAGGCUAGAGUGUGUCAGAGGGGGGUAGAAUUCCACGUGUAGCAGUGAAAUGCGUAGAUAUGUGGAGGAAUACCGAUGGCGAAGGCAGCCCCCUGGGAUAACACUGGCGCUCAUGCACGAAAGCGUGGGGAGCAAACAGGAUUAGAUACCCUGGUAGUCCACGCCCUAAACGAUGUCUACUAGUUGUCGGGACUUAAUUGUCUUGGUAACGCAGCUAACGCGUGAAGUAGACCGCCUGGGGAGUACGGUCGCAAGAUUAAAACUUAAAGGAAUUGACGG
rnacentral:rRNA from 1 species